CACUACCCCCUCUUGGCUCUCAGGCCUGCCGUACCGCCGCCCACCCGCUUCUCCUCCUCCUCCUCCUCCCGUUGGCUCUCCACCAAGGGAUCCGCCGCAAAGCCGCCAAUGGACUCCGCUGCCGAGGAGCCCUUCUACGUCGUCCGCAAGGGGACGUCAUCGGUAUCUACAAGACACUCAGCGAAUGCCAAGCUCAAGUCAGCAAUUCGGUAUGCGACCCUUCUGUCACUAUUAUAUGCGGGUUAGGGAACACUCUCUACUCCAUUGACGCCGCAGAUGCCAGAGAUGAAUUUUUCGGCGAUCUCGUUCCCUGCCCUUUCCAGGUAAACAAGCAAUGCUCUGUGCAUGGAACUUACAGUUGCUUCACAGCCAUGUUCCAUCUUCCAUGUGCAUCACUUGCCAAUGUUGCCCGUUACCUAUCUUCUAUGGAUGCCAUGAUCAAUUUGCUCUGCGUUCUACUUCCUCUAUUAAUUCUCCGGUGUUCGUGUCCACCAAUUUUGCUGGCUAAUAUGUGAUGGCACUGAUCUUACCACUUCCUUAAUUAUGCUCACAUCUUCUCUGCUAGUUGGACCAUAUUGCUAAGUCAGUUCAUUAUACUCUGUUUGAACUUGGUCCAGUCAUUUUUAGACAAAGUAUUCAUUUUACUAGAAAGCCCAUACACUAUCACCACCAAAAUAUAGCUUCAUGGUUCCUAUGUACCAGCAUACACUUCGACGUUGAUUGUCAACUGCCCCCAAUUCUCAGGGCAUUAGUUUUUUUUCUCACACACAGUCCCAAGGCUCACACCUUGAGCGUUGAGCACAUCUUUAAUUUAGAUUAUCUCGCUUCAACAGUUUCUCUUCACAGUUUUCUUCACGAAGAAAUUCUUUCUCUUAUUCCCUCCACCCUGAGAUUCUAUCUCAUUUCACUUCCUAAAUUCCUUCGAAGGGAAAUUGUUAGAGAUAAGAAAAAGUAAAAGAUAUAGAAACGGGAAAAAAAUUAUGAAAAGAACGAAAUAAAAGGAAUAUAAUUGAAGAUAGUCUUAUAUCCUUGGCUGGUUGCAUUACUACUUGAUCUUGCAUUUGCCCAUGACAUUUCGGGUAGUGUUUGAUUGUGCUACUUUUGGCAACCUGAUGGGAUUGCAUCCUCUACAUUGAAAAAGUCACAGGAGAUUGUGAGUAGCAUUUUCUUUUUCAUUACUAGUUAGGUGUUUGUGCGUUGCAACGGAACCCAUAUUUUACACGAUAUGGUUCCAUUUCUACAUAAAACAAUUAUUUUUCAGACACACCAUACGCUGAACAUAUGAUUUUACAACAACAGAACAUGUAAAGCAUUCCAACAUGUAAUCUUACACCAAACUCAUUCAAUUAAUCAAAAUCUACACCUAAUUUUUUAUUUGCUGAAACAAACCAAUUAAUCAAAAUAUGACAAUGCAGCAACAUGUAAUCGUGUUCUCUGCUGCAACAAACAUAACAGUAUUUACCAAAAAAAAAAUAUAUUGCUGUAUUUAUAAAUUUAGCAUGUGUAUUCGACAUCUUAUUCAUCGAAAAUGUGAUUUCGGCACCUGAGAUGCCGAAUACGAUAUUGUACAUUAUAUUCGUCACUUCAUAUGCCAAAAACGGUUAUAUUCGACAUAUGAGAUGCCGAAUACGAUGCAUAGUAUCAUAUUUGGUGCCUCAACUCAGGUGCCAAAUACACCCGUCCGCUGUCCGCCGCCCUCGCUCACGAAGAGAAGCUAGAAGCCCGUUGUAUGUACGUGUGCAUUUAAUUUUUUAUUUAACUCUUGAUUUUAUUUGGGAUUAAAAAAUAGUCUAAAAUUUUUAAACGUUUUCAUGAGCAAAUUAGAGCUCACUAGCAACUCGUUUUAAUUGGUUUGAUCUAAAAAGCCUUAGCCAAUAUUUAAUUAAAAUUAACCAAAUAAGCCUACUUUUAUAAAUUCUAGUAAUUUUUAUAAAAUCUAGAAAAAUUCACUAAUAUUUUUCUCAUGUGAUGUACUAAUUUAUAAAAAUAUUUCCAAUCUUAAGUUAUUUAGUGAAAAAGUGAAUUCCUUUAUAAUGCUCCAUUUAUAUGUAUUUUUAUUAUUUCAUGUGAUAUUCUCUUUUUAAUUCAAUUUAAAUAAAAUGUUCAAACUAUCUUCUAUUUCAUGUGAUUUACUAUCUUCUAUGGAUGCCAUGAUCAAUUUGCUCUGCGUUCUACUUAUACUCUAUUAAUUCUCCUAUGUUCGUGUCCACCAAUUUUGCUUGCUAAUUUGUGAUGGCACUGGAUCUUACCAAUUCCUUAAUUAUGCUCACAUCUUCUCUGCUAGUUGGACCAGAUUGCUAUGUCAGUUCAUUAUACUCUGUUUAAACUUGGUCCAGUCAUUUCUAGACAAAGUAUUCAUUUUACUAGAAGGCCCAUACACUGUCACCACCAAAAUAUAGCUUAAUGGUUCCUAUACACUAGUAUACACUUCAACGUUGACAACUGCCCCCAAUUCUCAGAGCUCAGUUUUUUUCUCACACACAGUCCCAAGGCUCACACCUUGAGCGUUGAGCACAUCUUUCAUUUAUAUCCUCGGCUGGUUGCAUUACUACUUGAUCUUGCAUUUGCCCAUGACAUGUCUGGUAGAGUGUUGAUUGUGCAACUUUUGGCAACCUGAUGGGAUUGCAUCCUCUACAUUGAAAAGGUCACCGGAGAUUGAAACUGGUCCAUGAAAGAAGCAUCCCAAAAAUGCUGAGCACGAACCAUUACCUGAUAGUCAUCUCUCUUGUAUUCUUGAAUUUGAUGGUGCUUCUAGAUGAAAUCCUGGGAAAGCAAGUGCAGGAGCAAUAAUAAAGUGGCUACAGAUCAAGCAAAGAUGUUCCACGUGGGCCAGAUCGAUGGCAGAAAUGGCGGCGCGCGCCGUAUUGGUUGCACUGGCACUACUGCUGACGCCAUGAUGCAUGUAUUGGUGUCUGCUUGCCUCAUCAAGGCCUAGUUCUUCUUCCUCGUUGUCGUAGUCCUCAACACGCCGACUUCCGCCACCAAUUGAAGGAUUAACCUCAGUUUUCACUUCCUGCCUCCGCACUACCUACAUCCUUGCUGCUGCAUGCCUCGACGUAGGCCGCCAUGAUUGCCAUGGCCUCUUUGGGAGAAGAAGAGUUGGAAGGAGGAAAAAAGGGGAGCAACAAAAUGAUGCAUGGUCAAUUCAAGCACAAAAGUAGCAUGCAUAUCCUGAACGAAUCCUUGCCUAGGAGGUUGUUGGUGUGGCCAGUGGGAGUGAUUUUGCUAUAUUCUAGUAUCUUCCAUGUGUCAGGUCAUCUCUAGUGGAUAUUUUAAAAAUUUAUCUUCUAUAAUAUUAUUAUAGU